UCCUCCUGACUUAAGUCACUCGGAGACGACACCAAAUAAGAAGGGGAAAAGAACGGGAGGCGAUUGCCGCAAACCCCUCUCUCUCUCUCUCUCUCGCUCUCGCUCUCGCUCUCCCGAACCCCAACCCGCAUUGCCCUCUUCGAUCCUCGAUCGCUCCCUGGCUUCCCUUUCGGAGGCCGUCCGAUCCUCUCCCUGGAGUCCGAGAUCGCCGUUGGUAACCGGAGCUUCGGAUGGUGCGGGCUGCAGUAGGCGGUGCGGUGAUGGGAUGUCGAGACGUCGAAUCGCGCCCCUAGCUCCUGCUGGUUUCGUUUCGGGAAGCGUAGGAGGAUCGUCUCGUCAUGUCACUGGGACAGCGGAAUGACGCAGAUGAGGAUUGAUCGAUCUGAAUCUGCUCGUCUUUAGCUUCUUCAAAGGUGAAUCUGAGGCCGAGCGCUUCGGGUUUUGUUUUGGUCGUAGUCUCUGGAUCUAGACGUAGUGAAAUGUAGAUUGCGGGCAUGGAGCAAGCACCUCUGUCAGAGGACCGAGAGAGGGAGUUGAAUAUUUUUCAGGUGGUUCGAUUGAUUCAAGAAAGUGGAGUGUUCUAGAUCGAGUUUAUGGAGUCUCGAAUGGAUCAGUACGAGAUCCUGGAGCAGAUUGGGCGAGGAGCCUUUGGUGCCGCAAUUCUGGUAAACCAUAAGGUGGAGAAGAAAAAGUAUGUUAUGAAGAAAAUCCGUCUUGCAAGGCAAACAGAGCGGUGCCGGAGGUCUGCUCAUCAAGAGAUGGCUCUGAUUGCACGACUUCAACACCCUUUUACUGUUGAGUUCAAGGAAGCUUGGGUGGAGAAGGGCUGUUAUGUUUGCAUCGUCACGGGUUAUUGUGAAGGUGGAGACAUGGCUGAGUUGAUGAAGAGAUCAAACGGAGCAUACUUUCCAGAGGAGAAAUUGCUGAAAUGGUUUACUCAACUGCUAUUAGCUGUUGAGUAUUUGCAUUCCAACUUCGUUUUGCAUCGAGACAUCAAGUGCUCAAAUAUAUUUUUGACCAAGGAUCAGGAUGUUCGCCUUGGGGACUUUGGACUUGCUAAAACUUUAAAAGCAGAUGAUUUGGCUUCUUCUGUUGUUGGAACCCCCAACUAUAUGUGCCCGGAGCUUCUUGCAGAUAUUCCUUAUGGGUUUAAAUCAGACAUUUGGUCUCUAGGGUGCUGUAUGUAUGAGAUGGCUGCUCAUCGACCUGCUUUUAAAGCUUUUGAUAUGGCUGGACUGAUUACUAAGAUUAACCGGUCAUCUAUUGGUCCUUUACCUGCAUGUUAUUCUUCUUCCUUGAAAACUCUUAUCAAAAGCAUGCUGAGGAAGAACCCAGAGAAUCGGCCAAGUGCAUCUGAAAUUUUACGUCAUCCAUGUUUGCAACCAUAUGUCAGUCAACAACGUCCAUGCCAUGAUCCUUCAAAUGUGUCACAAUCACCAGAAAAGCCCAUCUCAAUUUUGCGAGGUCAGAGUAAUAUGUCCGAAAGCCAAAGUAGCAGUAUUUCAGGCAGUGAUAAGGAGAGUUCACAGUCGAGCAACAAAUAUGCAUCAGAACUGUCAAUGAAGGGGGACCAAAAGGCAAUUGAACCAGACACUGCUUCAACUGAUGAUGGGGUAGCUUCUGAUUAUAACAGUAAUUCCCCUUUUUAUGCUAGGGGUGGUACUGAAAUCUCUGAAAUUGUUAAAGAGAGACAAGAUUCAUCAAAAGUUUUACAAGUUGAUGAGCAACAAAAUAUUGAGUCCAGGCAACCAAGAAUUUCCAAAAAUAUGCUGACCGCUUUUAAAGAGGGUAUUAAAGCUAGAGAAAGCAGUUCUCCUGUGAGAGCAAGUCGAGUAAAAGUAGUUGCUGCAUCCAACCAUAGGAGUAGUACAGAGCAAUCACCUAAGGUGUCCAAACCCACUGGUGCCAGUUUUUCGAAGCCAAAGCCUAAUGCAGAAGCGCCACCUGAUGAACCAAUCAAGAACAUUUGUGAUUCUGAAAAACAAGUGCAAGGUUUGCAGAGCUUUAAGCACCUGUCACCUGUAUCUGAAUCCUCUCCCAAAACUAAAGCCAGAUAUGAUGAGGCUUCACGAACUGAUCCUGUUAAGCUUAUUCUGGAAGACAAUGUUCCUCCUAAGAGGAGGCAAAGGAUAUUACCACCCAGCCUCACCAGAAGGCCAACACUCCCUGCUCCAAACGCUGCUGGAGUUGACAAUCCAAGUCCUGUGGAUAACGGGAACAAGAGUCCUUCGAACAAAUUAACUCAGGAGCCAGGUGUUAGUCCAAACAAAAAAAUCUACAGCCCCAGGCAAGUCAUCAGCCUGAUGGAAGAUUCAGAGAUGAUUCCUAUUAGUCCUUCUAAAGGAAUGCAGAUUAAUAAAGAUAAUUUAGAGGUGCCACCUGUUCAUACUGAAGAUUAUCUGAUGGCAAGGGUUAAGGAGCAGAGCAAAUUGUACUCAAACUGCACGGAUGAUUGUGCUGAUGAAUCUUCACCUGCUAAAAUUUCAGAAUCCAGUCCGACAAAAUGUUCCUCUUGCACACAUUCAAGGCUUGAUUAUUCAUUUGCAGAUAGUCAAGAGCAUGACAGUGGACCUUUUCCAAACUUAGAGAUCAAUACAUUGGACUUACAGCAGAGCACUAUAAAUGAUAAAAUUACCUCCAGUUCAGUUUUAGAGCUGUCCUUAUCCGGAACGGAACAAGAGUUUGUUUUCAAAGAUGAUAUUUCUAUGAGCAAGUCUAACCAAAAUCCAAUUGUGAAACAAGUUGGUGAUGACAAGUUUAUAGUCAGAGAGCUUCUUUCAUCCAUAAAAGACAUUGCACCUUUUGUUCCAGCAUCAUCAAAGAACAUACCUGCGGAGAAGGCGCCAAUCACAAAUCAGAUCUUGGAAAGGCCAGAAGCACCUCAUAUAACCCCAGCUUUUGAAGAUGUCAUUCAUGUUAUAAGGCAUAGCAGCUUCCGCGUUGGCAGUGACCAGCCUGUGCCGGAGAGCAUGGAUAAAGGCAUCCAAAACAUGGAUCCUGGGAGACUCUUAAAUGUGGUGGACGAGGUGGAUAUGAGAAACAUCUCACAGAACCUAGAACCACCAAGAUUUGUUGAUUCUGUGCGUAUUAAAUCGAAUGUUUCAGAAAGCAGCAUCAUCAAGGAGAAACCAAACAGCUCAGAAUCUGUGAGACCAACGUCUACAAACGUUGGAUCUGUUUCGUCGGAGUCAUUGCUUAGGUCAAAGGAAGAAGGAGGUUUCGCUAAAGAAACAUUAGAUGUAAAAUCUUUUAGGCAGAGAGCAGAGGCACUCGAAGGUUUGUUAGAGCUCUCGGCAGAUCUUCUGCAGCACAAUAGGUUGGAGGAACUUGCUGUAGUUCUAAGGCCAUUCGGGAAGUAUAAGGUGUCUCCUAGAGAAACUGCAAUCUGGUUAGCAAAGAGCUUCAAGGAGAUGAUGAGUGAGGACACCAACUGCAAAUAAUGAGGAUUCACAUCAUUCUUUUUUGGAUUACUUUUCUCUUCUCUCUCGUUGCUUGGUGGAUUGGACCAUGUCAAGCCACCGAUGGAGUACCAAUCAUCUCAACUUCAUGUGGUGGGGAGUCCAGCUGCUACCAAGUCCCAAUCAUCUCAACUUCAUGUGGUGAGGAGUCCAGCUGCCACCAGCAAAAGGUUUUUGACCUUCUGAAGUCAAGCUAAAGGUAUCGACAGGAUUGCUCACCUGAAUGAUACACACUGAAUUAUCUUGGGCAGCAAUGCAUGGAAGAAACAUUUGCAAGAAUUUGGCCCUUCCAAGAUUUUACUGCAGGUAAGAGAUUUCUUGAGUUUUUCUUGAAUUUGAAAAGAUGCUGUUCCACGAUAAAUCACUUCUAGACUUUUUUUUUUUUUUUGGAUAUACAGGUAUAUCGAUCCAUACUACUGCUCAGUAUCAUUGAAACAAAUAAUAAUGUAAAUAUAAAUACACUAUAUCUGUCCUAGUAUCAAGUUAUAGAUUUUGA